UACGUAGGGUCCGAGCGUUGUCCGGAAUUACUGGGCGUAAAGAGCUCGUAGGUGGUUUGUCGCGUUGUUCGUGAAAACUCACAGCUUAACUGUGGGCGUGCGGGCGAUACGGGCAGACUGGAGUACUGCAGGGGAGACUGGAAUUCCUGGUGUAGCGGUGGAAUGCGCAGAUAUCAGGAGGAACACCGGUGGCGAAGGCGGGUCUCUGGGCAGUAACUGACGCUGAGGAGCGAAAACGUGGGGAGCGAACAGG
rnacentral:rRNA from 1 species